CUCUCGCGGCCGUCCCUCCGGGGCGAGCGCCCGAGAUCCCUUUCCCAGAGUGCUCUGCGCCGUGAAGAAGCGGCUCCCGGGGACUGGGGGCAUUUUGUGUUGGCUGGAGCCGGAGUAACAAGAUGGCGUCGUCGGCGGAGUGACAGUGGUCCCCCCGGGCGGGAGCCGGUGGCAGUGGGAUCGUCGCCCUAACACACCGCGCUCCUCUUCCAGCCCGCGACGGCGCCGCGGAAGCGAGGCAGCGUCGGCCGGCCAGAAACAAGUGGCGCGGCCUGGUAACCGCGAGAACCUCCUCAGAAACUGCGGCCUGGCCAAAGAAACCUGACUGAGGGCGGUGAUCGGGCUCCCCUUGGCCGACUCUGGGCCCUGUAAAGCCGAGAGAGCCGACGUUUUCCGUUUCCUGCCGCCCUCCUCCGCAGCCUUGCUCGGUGGACGAGCCCCAGAGGCCUCCGUCCUCCCCUCAGAGGUGUCGGGGCUUGGCCCCAGCCUCCAUCUUCGUCUUUCAGGAUGGCGAGCAGCACCGGCUCCAAGGCCGAAUUCAUUGUUGGAGGGAAAUAUAAACUGGUCCGGAAGAUCGGGUCCGGCUCCUUCGGGGACAUUUAUCUGGCGAUCAACAUCACCAACGGCGAGGAAGUGGCAGUGAAGCUAGAAUCUCAGAAGGCCAGGCAUCCCCAGUUGCUGUACGAGAGCAAACUCUAUAAGAUUCUUCAAGGUGGGGUUGGCAUCCCGCACAUACGGUGGUAUGGUCAGGAAAAAGACUACAAUGUGCUAGUCAUGGAUCUUCUCGGACCCAGCCUAGAAGACCUCUUCAAUUUCUGUUCGAGAAGGUUCACAAUGAAAACUGUACUUAUGUUAGCUGACCAGAUGAUCAGUAGAAUUGAAUAUGUGCAUACAAAGAAUUUUAUACACAGAGACAUUAAACCAGAUAACUUCCUAAUGGGUAUUGGGCGUCACUGUAAUAAGUGUUUAGAAUCUCCAGUGGGGAAGAGGAAAAGAAGCAUGACUGUUAGUACUUCUCAGGACCCAUCUUUCUCAGGAUUAAACCAGUUAUUCCUUAUUGAUUUUGGUUUGGCCAAAAAGUACAGAGACAACAGGACAAGGCAACACAUACCAUACAGAGAAGAUAAAAAUCUCACUGGCACUGCCCGAUACGCUAGCAUCAAUGCACAUCUUGGUAUUGAACAGAGUCGCCGAGAUGACAUGGAAUCAUUAGGAUAUGUUUUGAUGUAUUUUAAUAGAACCAGCCUGCCAUGGCAAGGACUAAAGGCUGCAACAAAGAAACAAAAAUAUGAAAAGAUUAGUGAAAAGAAGAUGUCCACUCCUGUUGAAGUUUUAUGUAAGGGGUUUCCUGCAGAAUUUGCCAUGUACUUAAACUAUUGUCGUGGGCUGCGCUUUGAGGAAGCCCCGGAUUACAUGUAUCUGAGGCAGCUAUUCCGCAUUCUUUUCAGGACCUUGAACCACCAAUAUGACUACACAUUUGACUGGACAAUGUUAAAGCAGAAAGCAGCACAGCAGGCAGCCUCUUCAAGUGGGCAGGGUCAGCAGGCCCAAACCCCCACAGGCAAGCAAACUGACAAAACCAAGAGUAACAUGAAAGGAACGUGGCUGGUCACUCAGCAACGUAACCCAAAUCACAGGGGAAGACCUUGAAAUAUCUGACGAGACUGAUCUGCUCUGAAUACACUCAAUCCAAAGAAGUGCCAGGGAGCUGCAUCUGCUUGCUGAAAUUUUUGUCAGCUUUUUUCACUAUGGAUAAUAAAGCUGGAGAGGAAAGAACUGAAGAACCCAACAGGAAAUGAAGAUGAGCAUACAAGAGUCAGUUUGUGGUGAUCUGAAGCCUAUGUCUCGAAGACUGGCUGGACCUAUCAAACUUUAUAACUUGUCAGAGUGUCUGGAUGAUACCACAACAGUCAGAAGACCUAGAAGAAUACAGUGUUGCUGUGACUCGGUGGUGUACAAUGCGGACCAUCUACCAGCUGGGGAAGGAAUCAGUUGUAACAGGAACAAAGGCAUUCAUUCCUUAUUUUAACUGUUGCAGUGAAGAUGGGUUUAUGGACUUUUAGAAGCCAGGAGAUGCCACCUAAACUACAAGAUGAAAACCAAGGACUAAUGCAUGCUGGGGAAAAGAAUGCUUAGUACUUGAAGAUUGAAUGUUGAAUACCUGCUGAAUGCUCCUGUUGAGAUUUUUCCUAAACAAACUUCAGUAACAUCUUAGGACUUGAGAAACAUUGAUCCCUGGGUGGAGUAUCCUACCGUUGGCCAAUCUGAAGAGUUAAAUCUGGAUUUGACUGCUCUAUUCUACCAGGAAUAUUGUUAGCCUAGCCUUUAACCAAUCCCUAAACCACUGUAGUCGUCAGUUGACCCAGCAGUUCCUCAUAUAUCAGAUUAAAAGAUGAACAGAUAUAAUUCUUAUCCCUAUUAAAGACACAAGAGUUUUCUGAUGUUUUUGACUGACAAUGUAACUAAUGUUUCCUUUUUAGUGUGUUAGUGACAGUGGUUUCUGUUUUAAAGCUGCUUGGAUAUUCAGCGUAGUAAUGGAAUUAUCCAAUAGAAUGUAAUUGCAUAAGCAAGCUAUGAUAAAAGAAAACCCAACAAUUUUAGUAGUUGUAAAGACUUUUUUCUUUUUAUCAUAUUUAAGAAUACUUGCAGGAUUUGAAACCCAAUGUUCAUCAAGGUAAAGGUCACUUCUAUUUAGCUUAUCCAUAGUUUUAGUUUGCUUUAAAAUAUUCUGUAUUUUAAAAUUGGAAUUAGGUUACAGAAUUUGGUCAGAUUUUUAGUUUAAUUAAGGUUUGAUUUGACAGCCUUCUUUUUUUAAUGCUUACCUAGCAAAUCCUAUAUAAUAAUUUAUA